rnacentral:rRNA from 1 species
GUGCCAGCAGCCGCGGUAAUACGGAGGGUGCAAGCGUUGUCCGGAUUUAUUGGGUUUAAAGGGUGCGUAGGCGGCUAAUUAAGUCAGCGGUGAAAUUCUACAGCUUAACUGUUAGAACUGCCAUUGAUACUGGUUGGCUUGAGUACAGAUGAGGUGGGCGGAAUUGACAGUGUAGCGGUGAAAUGCUUAGAUAUAACCCAGAACACCAAUUGCGAAGGCAGCUCGCUAAGCCAUAACUGACGCUGAGGCACGAAAGCGUGGGGAGCAAACAGGAUUAGAAACCCUGGUAGUCC